rnacentral:snRNA from 1 species
AUACUUACCUGGCGUGGGGGUUACCGUGAUCAAGAAGGUGGUUCCCCCAUGGCGAGGCCUUGUCAUUGCACUGCGACUUGCUUGACCCCUGCGAAUGCCCCAAAUGUGGGCAUCUCGGGCGCAUAAUUUUUGAAGAUGGAAUACGCUGAAUGAGGAGACCUUCAU